GUGACGUCUCUGUCCCGCCCCGAUCGGUCCCGCCGGGCCCGGCCGGUGUUGUCGGGAUCUCCCCUGGGAGCCGCACGCGGCGGCAGAGACAACUUCAGGCUCUCCAGGAGAUCGUCCCCGGGGUAAGCGGGGCCCGGCGGGGCGCCCGUGGGGUGAGCUGUUAACUGCUUCUAACAAGCUGCUGUUUGUUCCCGAGGCUGAUAAGGAAGGGGGGAGGGAAGUCUGGCAGUGUAAUUGAACUACACCAGCUAGGGACAAUGAGAAGCUUCCUCUAAACAAGGAGUCAAAGUGAUUUAUAUAAGACUGGAAGGGGAGGAAAAAUACGUAUUAAAGGCGCAUGCUCCAAGCCGGGUUCAUCUUGCGGACAUCGAGGAAGACUAAAAAUCUUCAUCACAGAGACCCCGGCCCACAAAGAAACCCCCAGACCACGGACGCCGGUAACACAGCCCAGGAACAUGCAUGGGGAAAACUUUGCAACUGAGCAUGUGCAAAAAGCACAUGCCCCGGACUAUGUAUGGAUAAGAACCUAUGUACUGAGCAUGUCUGGACGGGAACCCGGAGGGUUCAAAAGGGGAAGUUGGAGAGCUUGGGGGGGGCGGCGGCGAGCUGUGAGAGAACUUUCUUUUGUUCUAAACAGCCCCCCCCUCCCUGCGUGUGGCGAUUGUCUAUCUACCGCUUAUUAAUAAAUUUGCUUGCUACUGUAAA